AGUGAACGCUGGCGGUAGGCCUAACACAUGCAAGUCGAACGGCAGCACAGUAAGAGCUUGCUCUUACGGGUGGCGAGUGGCGGACGGGUGAGGAAUACAUCGGAAUCUACUUUUUCGUGGGGGAUAACGUAGGGAAACUUACGCUAAUACCGCAUACGACCUACGGGUGAAAGCAGGGGAUCUUCGGACCUUGCGCGAUUGAAUGAGCCGCUGUCGGAUUAGCUAGUUGGCGGGGUAAAGGCCCACCAAGGCGACGAUCCGUAGCUGGUCUGAGAGGAUGAUCAGCCACACUGGAACUGAGACACGGUCCAGACUCCUGAGGGAGGCAGCAGUGGGGAAUAUUGGACAAUGGGCGCAAGCCUGAUCCAGCCAUACCGCGUGGGUGAAGAAGGCCUUCGGGUUGUAAAGCCCUUUUGUUGGGAAAGAAAAGCAGCAGGUUAAGACCCCGCUGUUCUGACGGUACCCAAAGAAUAAGCACCGGCUAACUUCGUG
rnacentral:rRNA from 1 species